rnacentral:lncRNA from 1 species
GCCACAGGCGAGACGCAGAGGGACGUGGCCUUUAACUUUCUUGCAGGAAGGUCCACAGUCAGCUCUAUAGUGCCGGAGGUUACUCAGGCCAUUUGGCUUGUACUCGAGCCACUGUACCUCCAGCACCCUUCAACGGCAGAUGAGUGGAUGAAGAUAUCACAGGGGUUUCACGAGAGGUGGAAUAUCCCUCACUGCCUUGGAGCAAUUGACGGAAAGCACGUGACCAUAAGUGCCCUGCUAACUCCGGGUCCGUGGACUUCAAUUACAAACGGUCCUUCAGCAAGUCGCUGCUUGCUGUGUGUGAUGCCCAAUACAGGUUCAUAUACGUGGAAUUUGGGCACCCUGGAAGCGAGAGUGAUGGCGGGAUUUUCUCUCGCUCCACUCUUCAAAAGAAUGUUUUGGUGGGGGCACUGGGCUUGCCGCCAAUGAGUCCUGUUGGCAGCGAGGGUCCUCUCCCAUAUUUCUUCGUUGGUGAUGAGGCCUUCCCGCUGAAGGAGUACAUGAUGCGGCCCUACCCAA